AUUAAAGACAUAUAACGUCAUAGGAGGGACGAAUUGUUCUCCCUUCUCUUUGCAAAGGCUCUCGUACUUCUUUCUUACUUAGAGUGCGAUCUCUGGCAAACACUUGAAUAUUUCUCUGCCGAGUGAAGUGAAGAGGAUAAAAAUUGGCACUCCCGAGGUUGAGGCUAAGGAACACAGUAGAGUGAUGGUGAAAGGGGACAGAAUGCUCUUGCUGAAGAACUUCCAAGUAUCUUUGGGGUGAAGGGGAGAUGGAAUGGUACAGUUACCGUUAUUAAAAAGUGCAAGUGCAGUUCAACAGUAAGGCUACUGAUUUACAGGUCAACCAGUACACAUCCUUACCGGUGGACGUCAGCUUUUGGAAGAGACUAAAAAUAAACGAAAAAGUUUUCAAUGGAUGGAACCGGGGCUGUUUCUGUGGACUUUAGCUGUCCAGCAGGUCUCAGAGAAUAAUGGCUGCAAUCCAUAGAGAGAAGAGCUAGCUGGUGUGGUUCAUACACAAAAUAAGAAUAAAAUCCCCUUGACGGUUUUUAGGAGACCAAGGGAACAACCCAUUACCUGCUUAUGGAACUUCUUCUUUGACCAGAUCUGGGAUCACCUUUAGACAAACAAGCUCAAGCCAAGCACUUGGCUUGCCACGACGCCGCCCACACUAUCUCCUGGAGCAGAAGACACGGCGAUAAAACCGCAGCCUUUGCCAUAUGACCGUCGACACACAGGCCUCCACCAGGACCCAGUGUGACCCUGUUGUCCUCUGAGAUACUGGCAUCCUCACAAACAUACUGCUCACUCCCUUCACAUCAAGUGCACAUUGGCACCCGCGGUGCCAAAAGUCCAACAAGUCAAAUGAAUGACUACAGCAUCAAAAAAAAAAAGGUCUCUGAAAUUGGAGGAGGAUCAGUGUCUGUUAAUAUCAGUGUUUUCACAGCAGAAUAUGUUCAGUGUGGCCAUCUGCCACAUUAGGAAAAUGCCGCCUUGAUUUUCCUCUUGGUAUCAUUCAAUCAUGUGCUCUGAUUUGUAAUUUAAUAUUUAUACAUUUACAUGCUAUAAUUUAGUAUUGUAUUAUGGUGAGGCCAUUAUCUAUGAAACUCUGUCCAUCCACCCAUUUUUCAAUCCUGAAGAGGAUUCCAAUGAUGACCCUUCAUUUGCCAUUGCACAUAUCUGGCCUCUUAACAUAUUGAACUUUAGGAGAACACAAUGUACUGCUUGUGCUUUACUUCUAUUGAUUGCCAGGCCCAUGCUGCUAAAUUAAUAAAAUAAUUCUUUACUUA